GUUGUCCUUCAGCACAUAAAAUUCACACGGAUAAGCAAUAAAGCGUCUGGCUGCUGAGUGCGCCCCUUAUACAAAGCCUGGUUGGGUAACAAGGUUCAAGUGACAGGAUUGUUUAAUGUCGUUCCCAAUGCACACGUGUGCAAAGGAGAACGAUAUAGUUGUUACUCCGGAUCUGUUGCAGCACAAAACAAAACACUCACACAUUGAGAUAAAGAACGCAAUAAUUUUUUAAAAAGUAACUAUAAACACAUAAGCUAUUUUAUAUACACAGAUUACACAGGACAUAAAGUGACGCUAGUCACAAGUCUGUGUGCAAACGGAAAACUUGACUGGAAGUGCUAAAGUGGCGUUGGUGGGAGGGGAGGGGGGCGGGUGUGUGGAAGUGUUGGUCAUUCUUACUGCUUGGGAAAAGUAGCUGUUAAAAUCUGAAGCUUCGAACGUUGCAUGAGCACACAAGUCCGUAAGCGGCCACCUCAUUUGCGAAGCGGCUUUCCGGAAGUCAUGUCAGGAGCUCUUGUAAUUCCCACGGACGAAGAAAAGUCCCCCAUCCUUCAAGUGACCGAGAAGUAGCCAGUUGGCUUAGAAGAGGAAUUCCAGACCUGUUGGUCCACGACCUCCUUGCUCAGCGGUAUUGGUACACAGAAUAAAAAGUCAUGUGAUCAUCUCUGUCCUCGAUAAAGCACACAGAGGUCAGCCAAGAGCCUCUCAACUUUGGAACGGGAAAUUAAUCGACUUGAUCUUCGGCAUUGCAAGGCCAGACCGGAAAAUAAACUGCUGAUUAUGUCAUCAUAUUUGCAAGAUGAGGACAAGGAAGAAAAGUUUCCUCGCGCUGGCAUGUGGAAGAAUCCCAAUUCUUUAUCAAGAUAAUCAGCAAUAAUUUCGUCUCCUUUUACGCUCGCGUACAGAGGAAUGACGGUAAACCCUAUUUUGAAAUUCGGACACAAGAGAUUCUGCAGGUGCUGGAAAUCCAGAGCCAACGGCCAGAAACGUCGACUGCUUAUUCCCCUCCAUAGGCGCUGCCUGACCUGCUGAGUCCCAGUAGCGUUUUUAUCUUUAUCAAAAAUGCUUUUAAAAAAACUCUUAACGUCUAUGAGUACGUUGUGCUGUUAAAAUUGCGGCAAGAUGUUUCUAUGAAAAUAAAGUUAAUUGACAAUAUUUAUUUACCCUCCGUAAAUCGAUCGACCUUCUCUGUUACAUUUCCUUCACAUCAAGGGAACGACGUCGCUAACUGGAAAGAACGGAGUAGAAAGUUUGGUCUAUCUGGGCUUCUGUAGAGCGGUUGACGCUUCUUAUAGGGCCAAAGAGCGCGAGACUUAAUUGAAUAAAAAAUUCUAUCAGUAAUUGGAUCACAUGAGUUGAUUUAUUGUUUUAUAGGUUGUUUCUUUUUUUUCUGGAAAUUUCCCACCUGCCCAGUCUGCAUUCAGCUCCAGAUCUUGAUCUCUGGAAGUCCGUUCUCUCUCUUUCUUCAUCACCAUUGGAGCUCGAAAGCGCGCUCUGAAAAUUCCUGGCAUAAGUUAGAUUGAGCUCUUAAAGACAGCGGAGUCUUAAGAGCAUAAGGCACGGGGGCAGAAUUAGGCCAUUCUCCCCACCACAUCCGCUCCGCCAUCCCAUUAUGGCUGACAGUUGGAGGGUAAUAGAUGCUGGUGACUCAUUACAGCCUCUCACCAGGAUUGGCAGGAACCUGCUGAAAGUGAGCCUGCAGGUACAGCAGGCAGUGAAGAAAGCUGAUGGCAUGUUGGCCUUCAUAACAAGGAGAGUUGAGUAUAGGAGCAAAGAGGUCCUUCUGCAGUUGUACAGGGCCCUGGUGAGACCCCACCUGGAGUAUUGUGUUCAGUUUUGGUCUCCAAAUUUGAGGAAGGACAUUCUUGGUAUUGAGGGAAUGCAGUGUAGGUUCCCGAGGUUGAUUCCCGGGAGUCCCGAAGUUGAUUCCCGGGAUGGCGGGACUGUCAUAUGUUGAAAGAUUGGAGCGACUGGGCUUGUAUACACUUGAAUUUAGAAGGAUGAGAGGGGAUCUGAUUGAAACAUAUAAGAUUAUUAAGGGAUUGGACACGCUGGAGGUAGGAAACACGUUCCCGAUGGGGGGUGAAGGGGGAGUCCAGAACCAGAGACCACAGUUUAAGGAUAAGGGGUAGGCCAUUUAGAACAGAGUUGAGGAAAACAUUUUUCACCCAGAGAGUUGCGGAUCUGUGCAAUGCUCUGCCCCAGAAGGCAGUGGAGGCCAAUUCUCUGGAUGCUUUCAAGAAAGAGUUAGAUAGAGCUCUUAUAGAUAGCGGGGUCAAGGGAUAUGGGGAGAAGGCAGGAACGGGGUACUGAUUGUGGAUGACCAGCCAUGAUCACAGUGAAUGGCGCUGCCGGCUCGAAGGGCCGAAUGGCCUACUCCUGCACCUAUUGUCUGUUGCCUAAUUUCCCCUUCAACUGCUUCCUCGCCAUUCCUGCACUUGGUUUCGGUUGUAUCCCCUGUCCUGUUCUGAGUAAAUGCCACAGGGGUGUUAGAAGAAUGGAGGGUGAUGUUGGAGAGGAGAGCUAGAUUGGUCUUGGAGUGAGUGAAAAGACCAGCACAACGCCAUGGGCCGGAGGGCCUGUGUACUGCGCGGCAGUGUUCCACGUUCUGCGUUCCAAAUGCCGUUCACCUUCAUUGUCAACCUAAUUUCGUUCUCCGUAGGCACUGCCCGGCCUUUUAAGUAUUUCCAUCACCGUCUGUUGUAAGGACAAUAACAUUUUCAAGCACAAGCUGAAGCUCGUGGCCUUUCAACCGUACACAUGCGUGCAGCCAAUCGAAAGGCAGAACACAGACUGUGUGUUAGCAGUGAUACGCACUGACAAGCUGACGUAAGCUGCGAGCUCUAUGCGUGUGCGCGACAGCAUUUAUCUAUAUAUCCCUCAGAGUAAGCGAACAAUUCCAACACGCUUUUUCCUCCUCAUGAUUUCAGCGGCAGCUGUGUAUCAACUACACCGUUCCUUACAGAUCCUUGGUGCCAGGCUUCAGAGCAAUCCUUUGCACUCCAAAGUGAAAUGCGUCAGGGCUCAGAUCUGAGCCAUGGGCAUCUCCCUGCCGUGAAUUUCAGGUAGGCUGGGAGCCAUUUCUUUCAUUGAGGUGAUAUCCUUCGAGCACUAUUAAGACAGAGGAGCAGGAUCAGGCCAUUGGGCCCAUCGUGUCCCUUCUUCGUUCUAUCUUGGCUGAUUUAUUAUCUCCCCCCCCCCCACAAACCAUUCUUCCGCAUUCUCCCCGUAACCUUCGACACAUUUUAGUCGAAGAUCUAUCGGCCUCUGUUCUAAAUAUACUCAACGACCUGGCCUCCCACAGCCGGCUGUGGCAAUGAAUUCCACAGAUUCACCACCCUCUGGCUAAGGAAAUUCCCCCUCAUUUCUCCUAUAAAUUGCAUUCUGAAACCGUCUCCUUUGGUCCCAGACUCCCCUCUGUAUUUGCUGCAUGGCUCAAAGUGUUGUGAAACUGUUUGUGAAAGAAUCAUAACGAAGGCCAAGGAAUAUCUUUCCAGACACUUUUAGCAAAUAUUCGUUCAAAAGCUAAAUGUCUGACGGUCGCAUGCAGACCACAGUCUAUUCGAAGGCAGCACGUAUUGGCAGUGAAACUCCAGCCAUCCAAGUAGACAGUAAAUUUAUUAUCAAAUGGCAUAUAUACUACCUCCAGAUUAAUUUUCUUGCAGGCCUUCACAGUAAAACAAAAAUGCACGAUGGAAUCAAUGGAAAACAACAGACACAAAGGCCGGCAAACAACCUGUGUGGAAAAGAAGGCAGAUUGUGCAAAAAGUCCAUAGAUGCAUAAGCAGACAGGUAGGGGGACAGAGAGGUAGACAGUUAGAUGGAUAGAGAGGGAGAAAGAUAGAUAAAUAGGUAGAUAGGGAUAGAUAGACAGACAGACAGAUAGAAAGAUACUGAACACAUCAACGAACGUGACACGUCAUUGAGAUUGCAAAGGAAGCUGAAAAGCAUGGUUAUUACACAACACCCAAUCUAAGAUAGCCAUUCCCCGAGUAGGCUCAAGCAUAAGCUGCUCUGAAAAGCCAUCUCGUAGGCAUUCAACAAGUUUCCUCUCCUUCAGUCUAUUGGGACCACUGCUUUUCAGAUUGUUUGUCAAUGAUUUGUGGCAAAGGUUACGGAUGAUACGAAGAUAGUUGGAGGGGUAGAUAGUUCUGAGGAAGCAAUGCGAUUGCAGUAGGACUUGGACAAAUUGGCAGAAUGGGCAAAAAAGUGGCAGAGUGAAUACAGUGUUGGGAAUUUUUUUGUAAAACGAAAACUAUUGUGGACUACUAUCCAAAUGGGAAAAUGUUAAAUCAUCAAAGGUGCAGAGGGACUUAGGAAUCCUCGUGCAAGACCCCCAGAAGGUUAAUUUACAGGUCUGUGGUCCAAAAGGCAAAUGUAAUGUUGUCAUUUAUUUGAAGGAAUAGAAUGUAAAAGCAAGGAGAAAAUGCUAGGGGUUUUAUAAGACAAUACUUGGAGUACUGCCAACAAUUUUGGGUCCCAUAUCUCAGAAAGGAUGUGUUCCUGUUGGAGAGGAUGAUUCCAGGAAUGAAGGGGUUAUCAUAUGAGAAUCAUUUUGCGCCUUGGGCCUGAACUCACUGGAAUUUGGAAGAAUGCGUGGGGGUCACAUUGAACCCCGCCGUGUGUUGAAAGAACUAGAUAAGGUGGAGAAGAUGUUCCUUACGUUAGGGGGUGUCCAGAUCUCGAGGGCAUAACCUCGGAAUUGAAGGAAAGGAAGAAUUGUUUUAGCUGGAGAGUAGUAAAUCUGUGGAAUGCUCUGCCACAGACAGCGGUGGAGGCCAAGAUCGUGGGUGUAUUUAACGCGGGAUUUACUCGGAUUCUUAUCGGUCAGGGCAUCAAAGGAUAUGGCGAGAAAGCAGGUGUAUGAGGUGGAAUAGGAUCCAGAAUCAGUCAUGAUGGGAUGGUGAAGCAGACUCGCUGGUCUGAAUGGCCUAAUUCUACUCUUAUGCGUAAUGGUCUUAUGGACAGUGGUGAGGUUCAUCACUAACAACGAUGAGUUGGUCCACAGAGAGGAGCUGGGAAGUUCCCAGGUCUGGUGCCAGACAAAUGCCCUCUCCCUGAAUGUGAACAAGAUAAACGACUUCAGGAGACAUUCACACCCCUCUUUACAUCUGAGGCACAGCAGUGGAAACCGGAAGCACAUCGCACACCAACCCUCAUAGUCCCAUAACAUAUCCUGCACAGUCAAGGAUGCUCGCCAGCCCCUCUGCUGGGGAGGCUGAAGAGAGGUGGACUUUGUACAUCUAUACUCACGUCAUUCUACAGAUGUACAAUGGGGGGGGGGCAUCCGGACAAACUGCGUCACUGUUAGGUACGGAAACUGUACUGCGGUGGACAGAAAGGCCUUACAACGGGUAACGAAAUCUGUACAACGGCGCAAGCUUUCAUGCCACCAAGGACAUAUGCACAGAAACGUGCCGCGAAAAGGCUAGAAACAUCAUGGACCAUUGCAUACACCUUGCUCAUGCACUCGUCUCGGUCCCGUCAGGGAGGAGGCUACGUAGCAUCCACACCAGGGCGAACAGACUCAUAAUUAUUUAAUAUUCCAAAGCAGCAAGGCUGAUCAACCACUACUUUGUUAAUUUCCCGUCAAUCAUCUUAUGUACAACCUAGCAUCAAACUAUGCACAAAAGCCAAUCUCUGUAUAUAAGCAAUUUUAUGAAUGUAUAUUUAUUAUUAUUAUUAUUAUUAUUAUUAUUAUUAGUAGUAGUAGUAGUAGUAUUGUGUUCUUCAUUCUCCCUCCCCCACCCACCUAGCCUCCCCAUCACCUGGUUUUACCAAUCACCUGCCAGCUUGUACUCGUUCCCCUCCCCCACCCACCUAGCCUCCCCAUCACCUGGUUUUACCAAUCACCUGCCAGCUUGUACUCGUUCCCCUCCCCCACCUUCCAAUUCUAGCUUCUUCACCCUUCCUUUCCAGUCCUGAAGAAGGGUCUCGGCUGGAAACGUCGACUGUUUAUUCCCCUCAAUGGACGCUGCCACACUGCAUUUCCAGAAUCUGCAAAAUCUCUCGUGUUUAUGAAAAAGCUGUGUUUGCAAACUAAAUGGAAAACCAAACCUUAAAUUCUAGAUGACUCCAACACGGUAAACAUUGGCUAUGGGCGAGGAGGUAGGGGGAUGGCGGGAGUUGCGGAAACGGAAUUUCAAGUUUCAAAUUCUGGUUCCAGAAUUUCAUUUAACCUACACACACAAAAUGCUGGUGGAACACAGCAGGUCAGGCAGCAUCUAUAAGGAGAAGCAAUGUCGAAAUUUCGGGCCGAGACCCUUCAUCAGGACUAACUGAAAGGAACAAUAGUAAGGGAUUUGAAAGUAGGAGGGGGAGCAGAAAAUGCAAAAUGAUAGGAGAAGACUGGAGGGGGUGGGAUGAAGCUGAGAGUCGGAAAGGUGAUUGGCAAAAGGGAUACAGAGUUGGAGAAGGGAAAGGAUCAUGGGACAGGAGGCCUCGGGAGAAAGAAAGGGGGGGGGAAGCACCAGAGGGAGAUGAAGAACAGGCAGGGUGAUGAGCAGAAAGAGAGAAAAAAGGGGGGGGGAGAAACUACUUAUAUCAGGGAUGGGGUAAGAAGGUGAGGAGGGGCAUUAACGGAAGUUAGAGAAGUCAAUGUUCAUGCCAUCAGGUUGGAGGCUACCCAGCCGGUAUAUAAGGUGUUGUUCCUCCAACCUGGAGUGCGGCUUCAUCUUGACAGUAGAGGAGGCCAUGGAUAGACAUAUCAGAACGGGAAUGGGACGUGGAAUUAAAAUGUGUGGCCACUGGGAGAUCCUGCUUUCUCUGGCGGACACAGUGUAGGUGUUCAGUGAAACGGUCUCCCAGUCUGCGUCGGAUCUCACCAAUAUAUAAAAGGCCACACCUUGAAGUACUGUCUGGGGCCCUGAAUGGUGGUGAGGGAGGAAGUGUAAGGGCAGGUAUAGCACUUGUUCCGCUUACAAGGAUAAGUGCCUGGAGGGAGAUCGGUGGGAGGGGAUGGGGGGGGGGAACGAAUAGACAAGGGAGUCGCGUAGGGAGCGAUCCAUGUGGAUCGGGGAAGGGGGGAAGGGAAAGAUGUGUUUGGUAAUGGGAUCCCGUUGGAGGUGCGGAAGUUACGGAGAAUUAUAUGUUGGACCCGAAGGCUGGUGGGGUGGUAGGUGAGGACAAGGGGAACCCUAUCCUGAAUGUGGUGGUGGGCGGAUGGGGUGAAUGCAGAUGUGCGGGAUUGAAUAUUUUUGGUUAUUAGGUCUGUAGUCUAGUGUAGUAGUCUUUUUUUUCUCUGUGUUGUUUUUUAUUACGUAGUUCAGUCUAGUUUUCUGUAUUUUGUCAUGUAACACCAUGGUCCUGAAAAACGUUGUCUCAGUUUUUACUGUGUACUGUACUAGCAGUUAUGGUCGAAAUGACAAUAAAAGUAACUUGACUUGACUUGACUUGAUGCUACUGUCAUUCCCUUUACUCCACUGAAAUACCGACAUAUCCGAUUUCGGCUUCUCUUUCUCAAAUUUCACAGU